UGGGGAAUAUUGGACAAUGGGCGCAAGCCUGCUCCAGCCAUGCCGCGUGAGUGAUGAAGGCCCUAGGGUUGUAAAGCUCUUUCACCGGUGAAGAUAAUGACGGUAACCGGAGAAGAAGCCCCGGCUAACUUCGUGCCAGCAGCCGCGGUAAUACGAAGGGGGCUAGCGUUGUUCGGAUUUACUGGGCGUAAAGCGCACGUAGGCGGACUUUUAAGUCAGGGGUGAAAUCCCGGGGCUCAACCCCGGAACUGCCUUUGAUACUGGAAGUCUUGAGUAUGGUAGAGGUGAGUGGAAUUCCGGGUGUAGAGGUGAAAUUAGUAGAUAUUCGGAGGAACACCAGUGGCGAAGGAGGCUCAAUGGACCAUUACUGACGCUGAGGUGCGAAAGCGGGGGGAGCAAACAGG
rnacentral:rRNA from 1 species